rnacentral:rRNA from 1 species
AUGGACGCCGCCGCCCUGGAAACCCUCAUCCUCGACCUGCACGCCAUCGAGGCGGUCAAGCUCGGCUCCUUCGUGCUGAAAUCCGGCAUCACCUCCCCGAUCUACCUCGACCUGCGCGCGCUCGUCUCGCACCCGCGCCUGCUGGCCUCCAUCGCCUCCCUCCUCUCGUCCCUCCCGGCCACCCGCCCCUACGGCAUCCUCUGCGGGGUGCCCUACACGGCGCUCCCCAUCGCCUCCGUGCUCUCCGUCGACCGCGGCCUCCCCAUGCUCAUGCGCCGCAAGGAGGUCAAGACCCACGGCACCGCCAAGGCCAUCGAGGGCUCCUUCCGCGCCGGUGACACCGUGCUCAUCAUCGAGGACCUCGUCACCAGCGGCGCCUCCGUGCUCGAGACCGCCGCGCCCCUCCGCGCCGAGGGGCUCGUCGUGGCGGACGCCUUCGUCGUCGUCGACCGCGAGCAGGGCGGGAGGGAGAACCUCGCGGCCAACGGGGUCACGCUGCACUCGCUCAUGACGCUCACCGAGGUGCUCGCCGUGCUGCUCCGGCACGGCAAGGUCACCGAGGAGAAGGCCGCCGAGGUGAAGCAGUUUUUAGAUGCCAACAGGAAGGUCACCGUGCCGGGCGCCGCCAAGCCCAAGGUGGCCAGGAAGGGGUUCCCUGAGAGGGCGGGCUUGGCCAAGAACCCCAUGGGGAAGAAGCUGUUCGAGGUGAUGGAGGCCAAGCAGAGCAACCUCUGCGUCUCCGCGGAUGUUGGGACAGCCAAGGAGCUCCUUGAGCUUGCCGAAAAGGUUGGCUCUGAGAUUUGCAUGCUGAAAACCCAUGUCGAUAUCUUGUCAGAUUUUACACCUGACUUUGGCACAAAGCUUCGCUCGAUUGCUGAGAAGCACAACUUUUUGAUCUUUGAAGACCGCAAGUUUGCGGACAUUGGUAACACAGUAACUAUGCAAUAUGAAGGAGGAAUAUUCCGCAUAUUAGAAUGGGCUGAUAUUGUUAAUGCCCAUGUAAUUCCUGGGCCUGGAAUUGUUGAUGGUUUGAAGCUUAAGGGUUUACCGAAAGGAAGAGGGCUACUUUUGCUUGCUGAAAUGAGCUCAGCUGGCAACCUUGCUCAAGGAGAUUACACUGCAGCAGCUGUAAAGAUUGCUGAGCAACAUUCUGAUUUUGUGAUUGGAUUUAUAUCAGUAAAUCCCGCAUCGUGGUCUGUGGCACCAUCAAGCCCAGCGUUUAUCCAUGCCACCCCUGGAGUGCAGAUGGUUUCUGGAGGAGAUGCUCUUGGGCAACAGUACACCACUCCUUAUUCUGUGAUAAACGACAGAGGCAGCGAUAUAAUCAUUGUGGGGCGCGGGAUCAUCAAGGCGAGCGACCCCGAGCAGACGGCCAGGGAGUACCGCAUCCAAGGGUGGCAGGCGUACCUGUCGAGCUUGUGA